GGAAGGGAGAGGCGGCAGCCCUCCGGUCGUCGUCGCGUGUUGCCAGGCCGGGUGACUCGCGGUCGGGAGAGGGCGUGGGCGCGGGAGGCGGCCGGACUUCGCUGCUGUGCUCCAAGGCAGGCUCCUCCGGAACCAUAUCUUUGAAGACUCCGCGCCCGCCAGCUUGGGUGUCCGGCGGGACCCGAGCAAAGUUUGUUCCAGCACCUUGCCUCACCCUGAAUGCGCUGCUUGGAAAACUGUUGGAGGGUGUGUUUGUAUUUUCCUUUUUUCCCUUGCCCGUGAACUACCUUUCCAUUUUCAUUUCUCUUUUACAUUUUUUUUUAACCCUCUUCCUUGUCAACUUUGUUUUCAGACUUAUUAAUUCAAUGAAUAUUUAUAUUACCCCUUACCAGGUGUCCGUGGUAGCGUGGUUUGGUGGAAAUGAACUAUGCUUUGGAGUCAAGACAGAUCUGCCAUCGGAUUCUGGUUCUGAUAGUCUCUCUGUAACCUUGGACCAGUUAUUUAACCUUGCUGAGGCUCCGUUUCUUUGUCAUAUGUUUGCUUUUGCUUAUUUUAAUUUACUCUUUUAUAUUUGAAAUUGUUCUGGGCUUUUUGGUUUGUGUGUGUAUCAUAUAGGAGUCUGUCCCUAGGCGAAAGCUGUUCUUAAUCCUGUACACCCCGUUACUAGCUCUGUGACCUGGGGCAACGCAUGACAGCUUUCCUAGGCCUUGAUUUCCCCGUCUUUAAAAUCAGCCAGAUUACAGAUGGUAAUAUGGCUAAUAAUGAUCAUAACAGUUGGAAUUUGGAGCAUUUAGUGCUAAAAUGUGUAUAAAAUAUCUAGCACAGGACACAGUAUAGAUAGUGUUACCAUAUUUAAUUAAAUCUACUUUCAAACAUAUUAAAAAGCUUGUUUUAAAGUCAAGAAAUAAGUAUUGAGUCACUCAGAUCUACCCAAGCACUCUAUUUGGUAGUAACUAGUGAUAAACUAGCUGUCAGCCAAAUAAGGUUUAAACAAACGGGAUUUAAACGGGGACUUUGUCACCAGAAAUAUUUCCAUUGCACUCGUGGAGCUUUUGCCUAAAUUAAGUCCAGCACAGCUGUUGAAGAAAGAGGUCCAUCCAGGCUAUCAUUGGGGUUUGGUAAGUGGAGAGAACCCGGCUUCUGACAAGUCGAGCUAACACUUACUGAACGUGUGCCUUUCUAAGCACUUUACAGUAUUGGCGUGUGUGAUCCUGGGUACCAACACUAAGGAGCUUCUGGGUCUUGGGCUAUAAAAGUGAGGACAACCACACCCUACAGUUUUGUGAUGAGUAAUUGAUGUCUGUAAAUAUAUUAAGGUACAGACAUUAAGGCAUUGUCAAUAGUAUACAUGGCUGGAGCAGGUAAGAGAAGCAACAAAAAUAACUGGACUCCAGGAAGGAAUAAGAGUAAGUAUAGAGGCUUAGUUUGUUUCAGUUUGGGGAGUUGUUAGCUUAUUCUGUUAAGGAGAGCAAACAGAAAAAGUGUCUAAACCUCAAGAGAAUCUCAGAUCUUUGACAGUUAUUUCACUGUUUGCAAUCAGUCAAAAGUAAGAAAAUGAAAAUGACUAAACAUUUUUCUUCUUUGUAUAAGCAUGAGAAGGAAUAUUUUAGUUAUCUGGUGUUUUCAUGGCUGAAGGAAACAUUUCCUCAAUUCGGUUAGAGGUCAGGCCCUUUGCUUUAAAACAACCUUCUGCUUGCUGUUCUGUGGUAUGGGAGAUGUCAUUUCCAGAAAGAUUAAGUGCUUAUACCAAAUUGUCCAUCAGAUGAUUUCUGGUCUUCAGAAAUGGUUCCUCCAGUCCUUUCCUUUCCCUGUACCUCUGAGUUCUUCCAUUGUCCUUACCUCGCUAACCCAUCUUUCAUAUUGUGGCCCAACUAUGUUCUGUAAAACAAGCUAAUGAGUGUAAACACUGGCCAAAUCUGAAUAAGGUCUGUAGCCUAGUUAAUUGCAUUGUGCUAAUGUCAGCUUCCUGGCUUUGAUAGUUUUCUAUAGUUUUGUAAAAUGCUACUACCAUCGGAGGGAGCUGGGUGAGUGUACAUGGGCCCCCUCUGCAACUUCCUGUGAGUGCAUUAUUAUUUCAGAGUAAAAAAUUAUGGAGACAAAAAUCAUCAAUAAUUGCGUGCCUCAGAGGGAGGGUGGGACAGUGGGCGUUGACUACAGAGAGAACUUUUUAAGAUAAUGAAGAUGUUCUAAGUCUUGAUUGUCUUAGUGUUUACUGUACACCCAAAAAGGGCAAAGUUUAUUUAUAUAAAUGAUACCUGAAAACUGACUUGAAAAACAGAAAAGCAAGCUCUUGUCAUCCCAGCCUCCUAUGGUCCAAAGGGUGAAACCUAACUUCUCAUAUAAGGUCCAACAAAUUUUUCCUUUGUCUCCCAGUGUACCCUGUGCUGUCUUGUACUAUAUUGAUUCCUGCUGCUGGGCCUUUGCACAUGUUCUUCCCUUUGCUUAAAGAGAACACAGGAAAUUCAGGCCCAAAUUCAAAUUCCCUGUACUCUGUUAAGCCUUCCUUGCCUCUAUUAGGCAUACUAGCGCCUUCCUCUGUUCUCAUUAAUGCUGUGCUGUAAUUUUUAUUUUAUUUUACUUUUUUUUUAUUUUAGAGAGAAUCUUCAGUGGGUUCCAUGUGGAGCCUGAUGUAGGGCUCAAUCCCAUGACCCUGGGAUCAUGACCUGAGAUGAAAUCAAGAGUCGGAUGCUCAACUGACUGAGCCACCCAGGCGCCCCUGUGCUGUAAUUUUUAAUUAGUUUUCAUCUCAGCUAAACUCCAGGGUAGGCAAUCACAUGAUUCAUUUCUAUCUCCGGGAUCCAGUAGUGUUGAAUGAGUGAGUGAAUGAAUGAAUGAGUGAAUGAUUUAAAACGGGAAGAAUGCUUAUUAAAGUAACUUCUGAAGGUGUAGUCCAGUGUCCUCAAGAUUUUUCUCAGGGGGCAGUGACACUACUUGGAUUUUCUUAUAUACUUCGAACAGCCCAUCUCAAUAGUUUGAAUGUAGAGGCAGAUGAGGGAAUCCAGCUGUCUUCAAUUAAGCCAAAUGUUAAAGGUAUUUGCAAAGCUGUAAAACAUUGUCACACCUCCAAAUGUUUUUCUUUUGGAAAAUUGUUAUUUUUCUUAAAAAUAUUUGUUGCUGGGGUGCCUGGGUGGCUUAGUCGGUUAAACCUCUGACUUCAGCUCGGGUUAUGAUCUUACGGUUGAUGAGUUUGAGCCCCAAGUGGGGCGCUGCAUUGACAUUGUGGAGCCUGCUUGGGAUUCUCUGCCCCUCCCCCGCUCACACUCAAAAAUAAACAAACAUUAAAAAAAAGCUUACAAAAAAUUUGUUAAAAUUUGGGUUUAAGUGUGUAAAGGGGUUGUUAGACCAAAACGUUUAAGAAUCCCUGCUUUUAGCGGCACCUAGGUGACUCAGUGGGUUGAGCAUCUAGCCUCGGCUCAGAUCAUGAUCUCACUGCUGGUGAGUUCGGGCCCCACAUCCAGGUCACUGUCAGCGUGGAGCCUGCUUAGGAUCCUUUGUCCCCCCUCUCUCUGCCCCUUACCUACUUGUGUGUGAUCUCUCAAAAAUAAACAUUAGAAAAAGAAAAAAGAAUCUCUGCCUUUAGAGACUCUUACAACCCCCUCAUUGUUCAAAUGAGAAAUGAUAAUGAUGCCAACAUUUAAGUAGUGCUCUGGCCUUGUGAUGCCUUGGUUUUUUUCCAAUCUAACCAUGUGCACCUAUACUUCAGCCACCCACUCCCCUCAUGACCAUACCUGGAACUUGGUUAUACAACUUCCUGUUACGACUUCCUAUUUGUCCAGUUUUCUUAAUCUAGCACUAAAUGUAUUCUUUAACUUACUUAGGACCCCACUACCUUGAACUUUCCACUUGGCCUUUCGUUUUCCUUUUAACCCCAUUCUCUUCCUGACCCAGUGGAUGCUGCCAUGGUCCUCUCGCUAUUCUCACUCAUAACCUUUGACUCUUUAGACCCCCUCAUUUUCAAGCUGCACCAGCUCUGCAAACUCCCAGCCCUGAAUCCGUUGCGUGAUUCUAUUUCUGCUUGGAGUGCAGAUCACAGCAGAUCACAAAAUGAUGGAAAUGUACAGAUUGGGUGGAGGGGAGAGCUGUUACAGAAUCUAGUGGGUCCAAUUGCAGUUGGGACUCAGUAUUGUUCAGCGGUUUGUGUCUUUGAUCAGCACCCUGUAUUUUCAGAUUGCUAGAAAAUUUCACUUGGCUUCAACUACUUACACAUCCACAUCCCCAACAGAUAACCUCACCUUCUAAUCACAGGAAGUAAAGUUCAAAAAGCAAGAGUUUCCCCUCCCACUAUGAGCCUCCAAGGGAAUCUGUACAUAUGUAUCCUGCUGCCUCACAUCCUUGCCACCGUCCCAGAAGAACAGAGAUGUCCCUCUUUUGGUUCAUCCCCACCUCUGCUUAGGAUCCCACUUCAUCUCAUCUUGGAUCAUGCUCCCUUAGCCUCCCCCUCAACAUCUGUACUUCCAACUGCUCAGCGUCACUGGUUCAUUUCUCUUGUCCAAGAACACUCCAACCCUAGGGGUGCCUGGGUGGCUCAGUUGGUUAAGCGUCCAACUUUGGCUCAGGUCAUGAUCUCACAGUUCGUGAGUUUGAGCCCCACAUCGGGCUCUGUGUUGACAGUUCAGAGCCUGGAGCCUGCUGAGGAUUCUGUCUCUCUCUCUCUCUCUCUCUCUCUCUCUCUCUCUCUGCCCCUUCCCCCACUCAUACUUUGUCUCUUUCUCUCUCAAAUAUUAAUAAAAUAAAAAAAACCCACUCCAACACUAUACUCCCUCCAGUACUGCCCUGUUUCUUUCUCUUCAGAGUCAAGCUUCUUGGAAGAAUUCUCACUUCUCUUCCUCAGCUUUAUAACCUGAUUAAUCUUAUUGUUUGGUUUUUAAUGCUGUGAGCCACUCCUAUUCCCUACCAUGUCUGUGCUCUUCCUAUAUCCCCUAGAGUUGAGCAGAGUCGCAACCUACUCAGACACCUAAGAUGAAGUCAACAGUCAUCCUAGACUUCCCUCCCAUUUACCUCUCAUGGCCUGUUGGUCACCAGAAAAUUUUAUCCAUGAAACAUUGGUCAAGUUCACCCCUUUCUCCAUUCCCGAGGCAGCCAAACCAUUUCAGGCCACUAUCAUCCAUCCUUGAGACUCAGAGUGAUCUUGACUCCUUACUACCAAUCAUGCUGUCUUCCAUUGUACCAUUUCCAGUUAGCUGGUUUUGUUUUUCCUUUUUGACUAUCAGUACAGAGCCUGAUGGGGGGCUUGAGCCCACGAACGGUGACCUGGGCCAAAAUCAAGAGUCAGUUGCUUCACCAACAGAGCCACCCAGGCAUGCCUCUUUUUUGACUAAAUUUUUUAAACUGGCAUUCUGGCUGGCUUUGUUGGUACAGCAUGUGACUCCCGAUCUCAGAGUUGUGAGUUCAAGCCCCACGUUGGGAGUGGAACCUACUCAAAACAAAAACAAACUGUAAAAGUAAUACAUGUUCAUCAGAAAAAUUUUGGAAAAUACAGAAAAGCAUAAAAAAGUUGCUUAUAAUCUUAGCACCCAGAGACAAACAUUGUUAUAUCUUGAUCUGUUUCCUUCCUAGAGCUGUUGUUCAGAAUCACAGACUGGAUCCUAUUCCACUGCUUAAAGCCCUUCAAUGUCUUACUUUUUUUUUUUUUAAUAAUGUUUAUUUAUGUAUUUUGAGAGAAAGAGAGAAUCCCAAGCAGGCUCCACGCUCAGUGCAGAGCCCAUUGUGGGGCUUGAUCCCAUGACUGGGUUCAUGACCUGAGCCAAAAUCAAGAGUCAGACACCCAGCCAACUGAGCCACCUAGGCAUCCCAAUGGCUCACUUUCAAUGUUCCAGAUCUCUUACAGAUCAGAUGAUAACUGAAAUGCCUACCAAGGUCCAAAGUCUAUAUAGGGUCUAUCUCUAUUUAUCCAACUUGUCUACUACUCUCUGCCCUGUGGUCAGUGUUACGCACCAUGUGGUCGGUGUUAAGUAGGUUGCCCUGGCUUUAGUCUGGUCUCUCUGCUUUCAGGGCCUUUGCAUUUGCUUCUCUGGCAUGUCUGUACCGGAGUCUUCAUAUGACAGGCUUAACUUAAGAUCGUUUUGGAAAAGCCUUUCCUGAGCAUUCUAAGACCCUCCCACACACACUGAUUGUUUUUUAAUGUUUAUUUAUUAUUGAGAAACAGGCAGAGCAUGAGCGUGGGAGGGGCAGAGAGAAGGGGAGACACAGAAUCCAAAGCAGGCUUCAGGCUCUGAGCUGUCAGCACAGCACCCGAUGCGGGGCUCAAACUCACAAACCGCGAGAUCAUGACCUGAGCCAAAGUCAAGACGCUUAACCAACUGAGCCACCCAGGCGCCCCCUGAUAUUUUUUUAAGUCCUGUUUCUUACUCUUUACCCAUAUGAAUUGUUAAGCCAUUGCAAAACAGGAUUUCAAGAGGUAUGCGUAGGCUUUGCCCAUUCUUUGACACUGCAGUCCCACUUCAAGACAUUUAGCCUAUCUGAAUCAUGAUACAUGUAAAGAUUUUAGAUACAAGGAUGUUUAUCAUAAUGUUCUUUUUUAAAAAAAAAGUUUUUGUGUGUUUUAAUGUUUAUUUAUUUUUGAGAGAGAGAGAGAGAGUCAAGCAGGGGAGGGGCAAAGAGAGGGAGACAGAAUCCGAAGCAGGCUUCAGGCUCCAGGCUCCGAGCUGUCAGCAGAGAGCCUGACGCGGGUCUGGAACUCCCGAACCUUGAGAUCAUGACCCGAGCUGAAGUCGGAGGCUUAAGCGACUGAGUCACCCAGGUGCCCCCGUUACGUUGUUUUUUAAUAUUUAAAACUGAAGACAAAGUUAUUAUGCUUUAUAUAAAACCAAAGCAGCUAGAAAUACAUCUGUGGUACAUUUUCAGUGAAAAAAGCAGGUUUCAAAAUAUAUUCUGGUCAUUUUCUAAAUGAUGCCUUUUCUAAACGGCAUGAUGCCUGCCUUUCUUUCUUUCUUUCUUUCUUUCUUUCUUUCUUUCUUUCUUUCAUAAACACUGGAUAGAUCCCAGAUUCUUAAUAUGGUUAUGAGAGAGGGCAAUAUAAAUGAUGUACAUUUUUGUUCAAUACAUAUUUUUUAAUGUUUAUUUUUGAGAGAGACAGUGUGUGUGCAGGGGAGAAAGAGGGGCAAAGAGAGAUGGAGAGAGAACCCCAAGUGGGGGCUUGAUCCCAUAACUCUGGGAUCAUGACCUGAGAUGAAAUGAAGAGUCAGACGCUUAACUAAGCUACCCAGGUGCUCCUGUUCAACAUAUACAUAUUUAUUGAGAGUCUUCUGUGUCCACCAAAGACACAAGGAUGAGAAAGAAAACCAUAUUCCCAUUCUCAAGUUGUUCACAUUGUGGUGACAAAAUGAAUUGAAUUGAACUGGUGUUCUGAUAAGUGUCAAGAGUAUUUUGAGAGCAUAUGAUACAAAUGUGAAGGGCCUUUUCCCCCUUAGUUUUGAAAUUUUCUAUAACGAACAUAGACUAGCUUUGUAAACUUUUUUUUUUUUUUUGAGAGAGAGAGAGAGAGAGAGAGAGAAUGAAUCUCAAGCAGGCUCCACGCUCAACGCCGAGCCCAACACAGAGCCCCAUCCCAUGACCCUGGGAUCAUGACCUGAGCCGAAAUCAAGAGUAGGACGCUCACAUGAACCGAGCCACCCGGGGAACUCCCCUUUUUCCUUUUUUUUUUUUUAUGUUUAAAAAAGAUUGGCAUUGAAAUAAUUGGGAGAUAGAAGGUGGUAAGUGGAGUAGGUCCUCGAGUGAAGGGAACCGUUCUGAUGCCAAUUGUUUUUGAAACCAGGAGACUCCGUCACGUUUAGAGGCUGAGGGGAAGAGCUGCGUUCCUGUGUGUUUGUGUGUCAGUGUUCAGUGGGGCAGGUGGAGGAGGGAGUGAGGAGGAGCCCAGAUAAGAUUUGCUUUCACCAGGAGGCAGGACACUUCAGUCUCUGCUGACAGUUGUCAACGGAGAUAAAGCUGUCAGUUUGGGUAGGGCAGGAAGUUGUGGCAGUCCUACCCCUUGGCCUUCCUUUUCCCAAAGUGGAAGGUAAGGUCAUACCACUUUGUGCCUCUGUGCCUGGUAAGUUUCUACUCCUUCCUUUAAAAAUCAGCUGUAGGGGCACCUGAGUGGCUCAGUUGUUUAAGCCUCAGACUCUUCAUUUGGGCUCAGGUCGUGAUCUCACGGUUGGUGGGUUCCAGCUUUGCUUUGAGCUUUGCCCUAACAGCACAGAGCCUGCUUGGGGAUUCUCUGUCUCCCUUUCUCUCUGCCCUCCCCUACUCAAGCAUGUGCCCGUGUGGUCUUUCUCUCAAAUCAAUAAAAACUUAGGAAAAAAAGCAAAAAUAAAAACGAGGUGUAGAUCUCUGCCUUUGCAACCCCUUUCCUGACCCCUUCCUUCUAGAAUCACCUUGGUGGGGUGGGGGGAUGGGGGAAGGAAGGGGGCUAGUUAAGCUUUCAGAGUCCCUGAACACUCUAAGACUUAAAGUUAGAAUUUCUGAGCGGUGGCACGCAGGAUCUACAUUUGAAAGAACAGCCAUGGGGAAUUCAGGUGGCGCAAUAAAGUUGGAGAACCACCCCACUAAGUGUUCCCAAUUCAUUUUACAACCCUCCAUUAUUGAAAUUAAACUAUUCCCUCCCCCACCGUGUUCCUCUUGGGAGGGAGUGUCUCUUCAUUUCUGGGCUUUCAAGUACAGCCCUGCACUAUGUAGGCUGGGAGAGUGGCCUUGGGUUCUUAUUUGUGAAAUGAAUGAAAUGUCCAGAGCUGGAGCCCUGGUGUUUCGACCCCCCUGACCCACAACUUCCCUACCCCAUCAUAGGUUAUCUCCAUAGGUCUCUGAAUUCUUAAUGAAAGCAUUUCCUGCUUGGCUAUGCCUGAACAUCAUAUGCAAACUUAACCUCACACACCCACAUGGAGAGAUCCUGGGAAGAAUGGGGCUUAUGGAGGAUUGAUUGCUCUAAGGAAAGUCAAAGUGUAGGCCGCAGCAGGGGUGCCAGAGCACCUGGCUCCAGGGGUCCCAAGCUGGGUUUGGCCACUCCCCGCUGAUAAAAUCCAAAGGCAGAGAGAUGAGUGGUGGAGAAACAAGAAAGGGAUUUUAUUUCAGUGAGGCCAACACCAGGAAGACGGUGGACUAGCUUCUCAAAGACUGUUUCCAAAGUGCUGAAAAUACUUCCAGGUUAUGUAAGGAGAAUGUGGGACAAAGGUUGGUCAAUACAGGCAGGUGGGCAGUGAAGGUCAAGUCGUCAUUGUCUUGGGGUCAAUCCCAGGCGGGUGUUGCUGGCUCAGGGCCGUCUUGAUUGCUUGAGGGGGUAGUUUUGUUCCCAUCAGGGGAUGCUUUGCCCUCAGGGUCUUUUGCCUAAGUUAAGAGACAAGCUGGAAAGAACAACUUAAUCAGUUAGAAAGUUUGAGGUCAAAACGAGGUUAAGUCCUCCUUCAAACUUGAGGUGCUCUGAAGUCAAGGGAGUAGAAGGGCACCUGGCUGGCUCAGUCGGUAGAUUGUGCAACUCUUGAUCUCAGGGUUGUGAGUUCAAGCCCCACAUUCGGUGUAGAGAUUACUCAAAAGUAAAAUCUUAACAACAACAACAACAUGAAGUUAAGUGAGUGGAAUCAACACGAAUUCAGAUGCACAAGACCUCUACAGCUGGUGUCUGUUCUGAGUGUCACCCAAGUCUCCCCCCCCAAACCUAUCAAGGAGUUAAAACAUACUCUGGAAAAGAACCCUGGACUGUAACAGUUAAGGUGGAUGCUCGGGAGAUAAUGAGUCCUAACAGAAGGCUUGUGUGUGGCUUGUCUGGAGAAAUUAUAGGGUAUCUCCCACACUACCCAAGGAUAAAGAUGCUCUGAUACUAUUGGCUAGUGCUGUUCGUUUAGAGAGAACUAGUCCAAAAGAAUGGCAGUUCAUCUUAGAAGAAAUCAUUAUAUCUCCUAAGAACAGCAAAUCCCCUUUCUUUAAUCAGAGACUUUACUGACCACCUCCCAUGGGUCACGGGCCUUUACUAGCUGCUGGAGAUGUGACCGUAGGCUAACAGGCACAGUACUUGCUCUUAAGGAGUCAGUAUUGUUGCCACCCAGUCACUCAAAUCCCAGUCUGUCAUUUGGUAUGCUUUGUGGAUUUGCCUGGCAAGGCAUAGGACUCUGAGCAAGUGACCAGAGCCAAUUAUUUGGCCAGCAAGCCCUCCUGUUCGCACACUGUUAACAUUCCAGUUUUGAAUCACCUGUGACUUGGGUGAAAGUGAAACAUUUCCCAGAGUGCGGUGUCCUCUGGAUAAAUGCCUGUAAACCUGAGUCCGCUGGUGAGCUUGAUAUAACAGCCCUGCCCUGGGAAGGCCAGCAGCGGGCAGUGGCCAGCCUCCAGCGGCUCUCCAUUGCUGCACUGCCUUGGCUCCUCCCACCAGCCCCACGUCUGGAUCCCUUGCUUCCUGAAACAGGGCCUUCUAUUACUCUAAUUUUGCAUUUCUUGCAGGUGUCCUUGCCUGCCCUGAUGGCCCACUGAGAGGUUGCUGAGGGGAUUCUUGGAGCAUCGAAUUCCAAAGAGCUUGAGUCAGAAGAAGCUUUGCAGCCCAGGGCUGACUUUGAAGGAAGAGGGAGCAGGGGCGGCUGAUGGUAAGUGGAGGAGAGUGGACAUAAUGGGAACAGACGUGGGAUCGGCUACACUUGUGACUUUGAGGACGGUCCCCAGCUUCUUAGCUCCCCUGAGAGAAACCAUGAAAGCUGAAACCAGGAUCCCAGGAUCCUUAGCUAGUAAUUCCUAAAAGCAGCAUUUAAGAGAUCUGGCUCUGGAAAACAUUCACUCAAGGGUAGGUCCACAUUUGGGUGAAUGAGACCUACAUAUUUCUGAGGGGCAACACUUAAGCAAGAAAUAUAAAAUUAGACAGGGUAGGAGAAUACCCUGUUUCAGGAAGCAAGGGAUCCAGAAGCUUUAGCCUCAGUAAUUUCACAGUAACCCAUCUUUGCAUUCAUGCUAGAGGGUAAAAGUAUUGGGUGUCUCUGAUCCCAGAGGAUGCUUAAAGGAAAGAAGGAGGCAGGGAUGAGAGCAACUUUAAAGUUUUACCUCCUUGUUAUUAAUCACAUUUUCUCUUCAUCCCCCACACCCAGUUACAGGUCUAAAUGUUGGGCGAAGCUAUUCAUGGACAGGUAUCAUUUAAAAGAUUUUUUAAUUUGUUUUUAAUGUUUACUUUUGAGAGAGAGAGAGAAUGCACAAUCAGGGGAGGGGCAGUGAGAGAGGGAAAUAGGAUAUGAAGCAGGCCCUGCGCUGACAGCAGAGAGUCUGAUGUGGGGCUUGAACCCAUGAACUGUGAGAUCAUGACAAGAGCUGAAGUCGCAUGCUUAACCGACUGAGCCACUCAGGUUCCCCUGUCAUUCAUCUUGAAUCCCCAGUACUUCACACAUAGCACAAGCAAAGUAUUUGUUGAAGGAAUGAGUGGGUGAAUGAAUGAAAGAAUGAGUGAAUGAAUGAGUGAAUUCUCCCAGGUCCUAAGAAUUGAGAGUCCUGUAUAUUCCUCUCUUUCUUUCUUCCUUCUUUUUAUUUAUUUAUUUAUUUAUUUAUUUAUUUAUUUAUUUAGAGAGCGCGCGAGCAUGUGCACACCUGAGCCGGGGGAAAGGCAGAGAGAGAGAGGGAGAGAAGGAGAAUCCCAAGCAGGCUCUGCACUGCCAGCAUGGACCCGGAUGCAGGGCUCAAACCCAUGAACUGUGUGAGUUCAUGACCUGAUCUGAAAUCAAAGACUUGGACGCUCAACCGACUGAGCCAUCCAGGUGCCCUUGUCCAAUUAUUACUUUAGGUCAAAGGUGGGCAAACUGCAACCCAUGGGCCAAAUUGGCCCCACCACCUGUUUUGAAAUUAAAGUUUAAUGGGACACACUUUUUAUUUUUUUUUAAUGUUUAUUUUUUUUGAGAGAGAGACAGUGUGAUCAGGGAGGGGCAGAGAGAGAGGGGGGCACAGAAUCUGAAGCAGGCUCCAGGCUCUGAGCUGUCAGCACAGAACCAACACGGGACUCGAACUCACGAACCAUGAGAUCAUGACCUGAGCCGAAGUUGGGUGCUUAACAGACUGAGCCACCCAGGUGCCCCGGGACACAUGCUUUUAUUAUAUGUUGUCUAUAACUGCUUUUGUGCUACAAGGGCAGAAUUGAGUAGCUGUGACAGAGACCAUAUGGCAAACAAAGGCUAAAAUAUUUACCAUCGGACCUUUUACUGAAAAAGUUUGUCUCUGAUUUAGGUCUUCAUUACACCCAACGUGUAAUAAUCACCUCCUAACUGAUCUCUUAGCCUCUGCUCUCUCUAGAGGUUUUUCUAAAAUAUAAAUCCAGUAAGGUUGUACUCCCCCAAAACCCUUUGUUGGCUCCUCAUUUUCUGCAACUCCGUAAUGAAGUUUUUAGGAUUUGUCAUGAUCUAGCCCCAAUCUUCUGCAGCCUCUUCUUCCUCUCCUCUCUGUCUUGUACAUCAGCCACAGCAGACCAUGGAACAGGUCAGUGGCUCCCAUCCCUUCUCUGGAAUGUCCUCUUGUCUGUUCUCUACUGGCUUCUGUGUGAAGUCUGUCCUGAUCUCCUUCCCCUAUACUCCUAUAAAUCACAAUAAGGUAAAUUGUACUGCAAUAUCAAGAAACCCCAAAUUUUAGUGACUUAAAACUACAAAUCAGUUGAACAAGAAUAAGGUAUACACAGGUGCCCCACUUCCAGAGAGCUCGACAAGCACGUAUGAUGUUUUUGUUCCUCCCAAGAAUGGGAAAAAAACAGCCUAGUCACCCCCCCCCCCUUUUUGUAAUAUGCAUGCAAUGACUACCUUAUUAACAGAUAUUUGUCAUUUUGUCUGAAACUUGUCAUUUUGGUGCUUGUAGAGGUUGUGGUUGAUAAACAAUUAUAAAAAGAGAACUUCAUUUAAGGAAGAAAGAAUGGAAAGUCUGAGAAGAUGAACCAUAACUAAAGGGUCAUGCUUGGAGCUGCUUUUGGCCACAGUAAGAGCUCAGUAAAUGCUGGCUCACAGCUUGCCCACUGCUACUUUCCAUAAGUCCACUUAUUAAGCCAGUCCCCCAGGCAGGGAGUGUGGAAGCAGUGAGGAGAGAAGGAGGACCCAGCCUCUGUCUGAACUGGAGUGAUGCCUUCAUUGGUGCCUUCUUCCCUGCGGGGUAUAAAACCAUGUUUGAUUUGCUCCAAGUGUCACAGGAAGUUUCUCCAGGACUGCCUCCUCUCUCUAUUCUGAAUGCACUUGCUCUAUCCUUGUCCCACCUCCUGAUAUUUGGUUUCUGCCCAGCCCCUUCAGACGGGCUCUCGGGAGAGUAUCAGCACCUGUUAUGCAGCCCAUCUACCCACCUUCAUUCCGGGGAGCACGUUGGGAGCAGACUCCGCUCUGCUAGCCCUGGGCUGAUCCCUGACCUCCUGUGUUGCCAUUUCCACAUCUUUGCCUUAUACUCUGGCUCUGGGACACCCACUAAUCCUACGUGUUUCUGAAAUCAUUGUUUGCCCUACCUUGGCAAGCGAGGAUUGCUUGUCAAGCCAUCCUUGGCUUGGCCGUUUGUUUGGGGUCCUACUGUUGUGUCUUGCUCUCUUCCUUGCCCUCCCUGUUGACUGAUCGACUCUGAGCACCACCUGGAGCACUGGAUCCUGCCCUUGUUCUUCCACGUAUUGCCCUCUCAGAACCCACUGGAAAACCAGGCUUGGAAAUCCAUACCAGCAUCAUCCCUGAACUCCACAGCCAUCCUGUGCCUUACCCCACACACACCUCUGGCCCUAAGAACUCUUUUUUUAAGUUUAUUUGUUUUUGAGAGAAAGAGAACAUGAGCAGGGGAGGGGCAGAGAGAGACGGAGAGAGGGAAUCCCAAGCAGGCUCCACACUAUCAUUGUGGGGCCCAAUGCAGGGCUUGAACCCAUGAACCUUGAGAUCAUGACCUGAGUUGAAAUCAAGAGUUUGAUGCUUAACCAACUGAACCACCCAGGUACCCCCCAAGAACUCUCGAUGUAGACCUGAUUAAAUUUAUCAUACCGUACUGGGAUUAGGUGUUGUAGCACCAGCCUCUCAGUGGGGUGCUGAACACUGUCCCCUUUUGGGAACCUACCUCCCACUUUGACUUCUUUUCCAAUCCCAGUCUGCAGCCUGGGUCCUGAUUUUGAGAUUGACCUUGCUCCUCCAUUGCUGGACACUGUCCCAGGCUAUCCUCUACCAGGCUUCUGAGUCUUCUUUUGCUUCUUUUGAACCUGGAGCCCUGUGCUCUCUCACACCACUGCUGCCCACCAUCCCCAUGUUGGGGUCAGCUCUUCAGAACUCUUAUGGGGAAACCUCAAGGAUCACUGGUCUACAAGUAUUAAGAGUGGCUUCUCCCCACCCAUAGAGUUUACUUACUUAUAUAAAGCACUCAGUUUAGUGUCUGGCCUAGAAUAAGACUUUCUAAGUGUUAUUUGUUGUUGUUAUCACCCUCUAAUUAAAGCAGGCAAGGCUUGUUCCUCAAAGAGGAAGGCAUACGUAACAGGUAAAAAUAAUAAGCCAUACUUUCGUUUUGAAGUUUUUUUUUUUUAAUGUUUAUUUAUUUUUAAGAGAGAGAGAGUGCACAUGAGCGGGGGAGGAGGCAGAGAGAGAGGGGACAGAGGAUCUUCAAAGCAGGCUCUGUGCUGACAGCAGAGAGCCGGACUUGGGCUCAAACUCACGAACCACGAGAUCAUGCCCUUAAUCGAAGUCAGAUGCUCAACCAACUGAGCCACCCAGGUGCCCCAGUAAGCCAUACUUUAAAGGUUAAUGGACACCCCGGCCCCUGCCAUGUUGCCUCAAACCAGGCGCCCAGUAACCAGCACGUAGGACUUACCUUGACCUUUUGUGAGCUAGGACUCCCUCUUGAUCUAUUCCUGUGGCUGUACUCUCAGUUUGUGACCCAAUUAUCCCUUUCAUCCAAUCUCGUGCCCCUAUGAAGUCACUUUUCCUACUCUUUACUACAAGUGACCCUUCACCUGAACGAAGACUGAGGGUUGCUAAUUGUCCUUUCCCUAAUAACUUAGCGAAGUGUGAAGAGCUGGUAACUUAGACAAUGUCCAGAACCUACUGGCUUCUUUCACUCUGAGUGAACUGUGGGCACUGGGCAUCUCUUAGGUCAGGAAUUAGAUUCCAGUGUACAUGGGCUUUGAAACAGGAAAAUACAGGAGUGGGUUUCGGGUUGUCAGGAGCUGUACAGGUGUUGAUCACAAAUUCCAGGAACAGGGGGCUUCUGCCAUCAAGGCUAUGUGGUCACUGGGGAAAGUCAGGUGGGAUGUCAAUUGUGAAUAGUGAAAAAGGAAGAGGAGGUUCACCAAAAGCAAGAAGGAAUCUGAAAGAAAAAAUAUGUGGCUUCCUCAGGUCCUGGUCCUGUGCCUGGUCCACUAAGAAUAAUGUAUGAAAAACAGUGGGUGCCUGGGUGGCUCAGUUGGUUGAACACCCAACUCUGGAUUUCAGCUCAUGUCCUGAUCUCAUGGUUCCUGGGAUCAAGCCCUGUUGGGCUCGCACUGACAGCACAGAGCCUGCUUGGAUUCUCUCUCUCUCUCUCUCUCUCUCUCUCUCUGUCUCUGUCUCUCUCUGUCCCUUCCCUGCUCACACUCCCUCUCUCUCUCAAAAUAAAUCCAUAAAUGUAAAAAAAAAAAAAAGAAAAGAAAAGAAAAAAGAAAGAAUGAAUGAAUGGAUUCAAGGAGGGAAGGAAAGAGACGAAAAAUUAAAAGACACUAUCAAGCCAGGGGUGCCUGGGUGGCUCAGUCAGUUAAGCCUCCGACUUCUGUUCAGGUCAUGAUCUCAUGGUUCGUGGGUUCGAGCCUCACAUUGGGCUCUGCUGACAGCUUGGAGCCUGGAGCUUGCUUCAGAUUCUGUGUCUCCCUGUCUCUCUGCCCCUCCCCUGCUUGCUCUCUCUCUCUGUCUCUCUCAAAAAUAAAUAAGCAUUAAAAAAUUUUUUUUAAUAAAUUAAAUAAAUAAAUAAAUAAAUAAAUAAAUAAAUAAAAACACUAUCAAACCAAUAAAAUAAAUCAGUCAAGAGCAAGAUUUGGCUUUCAGUGACCUGGGACCUUCCUUCCCCACCUCCUACCUUCCCUCCCUCUCUUCUCUCUUUCUUCCCAUCCAGUGGUGCUGACUCUUGUCCCCAUGAGGGUGGCAGAAGACACUAUGUGCAGAAAGAAAAUCGGCUAGGGUUACCUGGGCGGCUCACUGGGUUAAGUGUCUGAUUCUUGGUUUUGGCUCAGGUCAUGAUCUCAUGGUUCGGUGAGUUCGAGCCCCACACUGGGUUCUCUGCUCUCAGCGAGAAGCUUGCUUUGGAUCCUGUGUCUCUCUCUCUCUGCCCCUCCCCCUCUCACACUCUGUCUCUGUCUCUCUCUCUCAAAAAUAAAUAACAUUAAAAAAGAAAGAAAACCAGCGAGCUUGGUCUGAAGGGGGGUGCGGGGCCUGCAAGACCUAUGGGAGAACACAGUCUGAAGCAGUCCCCUUAGCAACAGGGCCGAGCAGAAUGCUUGGUUUCAGAAAGGAACUAGCAAGAUUAGCUGGAAUGAGGGUUUAGGUGAGGUGCACCAAAAUGAAGCAAAUGUUCUCUCUUGUACAGAGACAGCUUUGGGAUGAAAUGUUAAGGCAAAGCACUGAUAAAUACGGUUCACUGGUAUAACAGGGUGUAACUGUUAAGAGAAUUUUAUCCGCAUAUCAUAAAAUUCACCCUUCUACAGGGUGAAUCCAGCAGUUUUCAGUAUAUUCACAGAGUUGUGUAACCAUCCCCAUUAUCUGAUCCUAGAACAUUUCAUCACCCUGUAUCUAUUAGCAGUAACUUCUCAUUUUUCCCUCCCCUAGCCCCUGGCCACCAAUUUACUUUCAGCCUCUACAUUUGCCUAUUCUGGACAUUUUAUAAAAACACAAUCCUACAGGGGCACCUAGCUGGUUCAGUCGGAAGAGCAUGCAAAUCCUGAUCUUGGGGUUGUGAGUUCAAGCCCCACAUUGGGUGUAGAGAUUACUAAAAAAUAAAUAAAUAAAACUUUAAAAAGUGGAAUCACACAUUCCGUGUGUGGCCUUUUGUGUCUGUUAUUUCACUUAGCAUGAUGUUUUCAAGGCUUACCCAUUUCUUUUCAGGUUUAUUUAUUCACUUUGAGAGAGAGAGAGAGAGACAGUGCAAGUGGGGAGGGGCAGAGAGAGAGGAAGAGAGAAUCCCAAGCAGGCUAUGCACCAUCAGCACAAACUGCUACGUGGGGUUCGAGUCCACAAACUGGGAGAUCAUGACUUAGGCCGAAGUCAAAUGCUGAACUGACUGAGCCACCCAGGCACCCCAAGGCUUACCCACAUUAUAGCAUGUAUCAGUGCUUCAUUCCUUUUUAUGGCUAAAUAAUAUUCCAUUUUAUGGAUAUGCCACCUUUUGUUUAUCCCCCUUCAUCAUUUGAAGGGCAUUUGUGUUAUUUUCACUUUUUGGCUAUUUGAAUUAAUGCUAUUAUGAACAUUUGUGUCCGUUUUCUGUGUGGACAUGUUUUCCUUCCUUUUGAGUACACACGUAGGAGUAGAGCUGCUGGGUCAUAUGGAAGGUAACUCUAUGUUUAUCUUUUUAGGGAACUGCUCAACUGUUUCCACAGUGGCUGCACUAUUUUACCUCCCUGCCAUAAAUGUCUGAGGGCUCCAGUGUCCACACACACACAUCCUUGCCAACACUGAUUAUUCUCCAUCUUUUUUUAUUUUUUUAUUUUUUUAUGUUUAUUUUUGAGAAAGAGAGAGAACAAUUGGGGGGGGGUGGUAGAGAGAGAGGGAGACACAGAAUCCGAAGCAGGCUCCAGGCUCUGAGCUGUCAGCAUAGAGCCCGACGUGGGGCUCGAACCCACACACCAUGAGCUCAUGACCUGAGCUGACGUCAGACGCUCAACCGACUGAGCCACCCAGGUGCCCCUGUCCACCUUUUUAUUGUAGCCAUCCUACUGGGUGUAAAGCUAUACCUCAUUGCAGCUUUGAUUUGUACUUUUCUACUAAUGAUGUUGAGCAUCUUUUCAUAGGUUUGUUGGCCAUUUGUAUAUCUUCUUUGGAAAAUUAUCUAAAACACUAUGUGAUUUUAACCGUAUACACACAUAACCAAAUUCCCCGGUACAGUCUGAGACUGUGUACGAGUUCUGAUAAUUGCUUAUUCAAGUUGCCAUCAGUGGUUAGAAUGAAGAGGAAUAUUCCUGAGGCUUCCUCAAAGGAAGAGGAAUUCUGUGUGGGUUGAUGUUUUUCCUCAAAGGGCUUUUCUUGGCUGUCAGGUGGCAUAUUACUGUGAGGAUUAAAUUGAGUAUUAAAUAUGGGCAGCAGGAUAUUCAGUGGCUCAGUUCAGCAGUACUGGUUAUUUAAGGUCUGCAUCUGUUCCGAUUGGCUGAUGCCCAUGCCUUGAUGUUUUUUUAACGUUUGGAAUACCAUGCCUACAUAUUGAGUGCCCAGCUCGUGUGUCUGGCAAGCAGUUGGUAAUUGUUAAUUUCUUUCCUUCCCUUCUUUUGUUGAGCUCCUUUAUGUCCUGCCAUCAUCAAAAGUAGGCCGCUGAUUGCUGGUAUGUAUAUUUUAUUUUCACCUCACCCUGGACCCAAGAGUGUUUUUUGAUGCUCUUUGGUGGCUGUCCUCGUUCUUUAUCAUGAAGAUCAUAUAUCUCUGUGUGGCUAUUUACUUCCAGGACUUUGGCAACUGCUCCUAAUCCUGGAGUCCCCUCUUCAGACACCUGGUCUGUUAACCUGAAGACCCUUUUCAUUUUAUGUGUGUAUGCAUGUUUGUAUGUCUGUAUAUAUUAGGCUCCACACCCAACCUGGGGCUUGAACUCAUGACUCUGAGAUCAAGGGUCACAUGCUUUACUGACUGGGCCAGGAAGGUACCCCCUGAAGACCCUUUUUAAAGGUCAUCUUUUUGUGUGGACAUAUUGGGUUCACAUUUGGUCGUGUUCUCACUCACUGAUACCAACAGUGGUAAUCAACUGGUGUAAUGCUGACCAAAAAAAUGUGUCAGUUGUGGAAGUGUUUGUAAUACUGAGCAGAGGGAAACAAUUUAAAUUUUAUUAAUAUGGGAUUGCUAAAGAAAGCCUGGUACAGCCAUAGAUUGCAGGGGUUGGCACACUUUUUCUGUAAAGGACCAGAUGGUAACGGUUUAGGCUUUGUGGGCAACAGAAUCUCUGAUGAAACCAUUCAACUCAGCUGUCUUAGUGCAAAAGCAGCCAUAGACAAUAUGUAAAUAAGUGGGCGUGGCUGCGUUCCAGUAAAAUUUCAUUUAGGUGUUGGGCCAUCUUUGAUCUGCAGACCAUGGUUUGCUGACCUCUGACAUAACGAACUCCUUCCAUGUGGCUGUUAAAGGAUCUAAUAGAAUUAUGUGUAUUGACAAAGAUGUCCAUCAAGUUUAAAUAUUUAUAUAUAUAUGUAUGUAUAUUUUUAGGAAGAAGGAGAGCAGAAUUACACACACACUUGUACAGGCCCGAAAAAGAGCCUUAAAAGACACACACCCACCUGUUAACAGUAACACACAGAGUGAUUAGGAUUGAGGAAGUGGGGAGUUUGGGGCAGACGGGUACUUUUCCUUACUUGACUGUUGUACACGGAAAGAGCCUUGGUUUUGUAAUUUAAAAAAAUUUGGGGCGCCUGGGUGGCUCAGUUGAUUAAGCAUCUGGCUCUCGAUUUCGGCACAAGUGAUGAUCUUGUGGUUCCUGAGAUGGAGUUCUGCAUCCGAUUCUGCACUGACAGUACAGAGCCUGCUUAGGAUUGUCUGUCUCCUCUCUCUGCACCUCCCCCUGCUUGUGCUCUCUCUCAAAAUAAACAAACAAACAAAUCAUAAAAUUCAAUUGAGAUUUUUUAGAUUCAAAUGAGUUUUACUGGUCUUAUUCAUAAGGUGCAUAACAUGUAUCCUACAUAAAAUGUAACAAGUUCACAAUCAUAAUGGCCACACAAUCAGCAAUACACUGCGUCUGAGCUGCAGAAUCUUAGGGUUAUAAGUGGGAGUCUAGAUGGAUCCAUGGACAAAGGGGAGGCAGAUUUGGUUGAGAUGCCAGCUCAGAGCCUUGGUUGGGAAGCAUGAGGCUGAAUCUGGAGCCGGGUCUGAGGCAGAGUUGGGGACAGAUGCAUCAGCCUCAACGCAGGCCUUCCCUGGUCAACAAUCCCCUGCCAUCGGGCUCCUUCUAGAUGUGGAGGGUGUCAGGAAUGUUACAGGUCCUUAGAUGCACUUUUGCGUGAGCCAAGAGCUGAAGGUGGUGGAUGGAGGGUGUCUGUACCCUGGCAGGUGAAACGACGCAGACUAGUAAAUAGGUGAAGUGUCCGGCUAUGGAAUGGGUGCGCCACAGGGGGGAGUGCAAGUGGGAGGGGCUCUUUGUGGGAUAGGUCACAUCUGAGUCACUCUGAAGUAUGAAUAGGAAUUUGCCACAUCAGCCAAGGCAAGACAGGAAAUUCCAGGCAGACUGAAGAGCAGAGAUGAAGGUUCAGAGAUGGGAAAUACUGUCAAAGUCAUCCUAAGAAGUUUAUGAACAGAGAGGCUGAGAGACCGCGGGUCAGGAAGGGGAACCAGCAGAGGGUUGCAGGCAAGGGAGGCAGGAAGUCACAUCUGAGCUUUAGAAGAUUUUCUGGUGGCCACGGGGAGUGGGGGAAGAGCCAUCAAUCAUCUCUUGUCCAGGCGGGAAGUGACAUGAGCGUGGAUUCAGCUGAUGAGUGCAUUUAGACCAUGUUGCCCUCACCUCUGGGCCAUUCUCUAAGCUGUCCUUCUGCUUGCCAUGUUCCCUCCCCUCCUCUUGGCAUGGCCAGUUCUCCUUCAGUCUUUAAAUUUUUUAAAACUCAGUCAUUACCUCCACCAAGAAAAGUUCACUGACAUUUUAGAUCCUAACACUCCCAGCUGGGUUAAAGACCUCAACUCAGGGCUCUAUGAGGCUCUGUAUAUCCCUAUGUCUCCAUGUGAAUCCCGUUGCUUUAUGACUGUAUUUUGAUUUCUGACUUACCACUAGACUGUGAUUUUCUUAGGGUAGAGGCCAGGUUUCAUUAAUCUUUAGAUCGUGAUCUCACGGUUCAUGAGUUCGAGUCCUGCAUCGGGUGAACUCGAGCCCCACUUCGGGUAAGCCCUCUCUUGGCACAGAGAAAGGGAUUAGUAAAUACCUGUGACUGAAUAGAUAAAAGGAUGAAUGAAAGGUGAAGCGGGGAGAUGAGAGAUGCUGGGGAAGCUGAGUUAGGUUAACAGGUUGUUUUAUUUGAGGCAGAUUUGCCAGCAACUUAUUUAACACAGGUUCACUGUGAGAAUUUCACAAGCCAGUGGCAUAAAAACCAAUUAUAGAUUAAUCGCACUAUUGUUCCAGGCAAGGGAGGAUGAAAAGAAUAAAGUCCAAAUUUAGUUCAGGUAUACCUUUAUAGGAGAGAUGACUUAGCCAACCAGAGAGCUGACAUCCGGGUACCAGUAUGGAAGUCAGAGUCCCCUGUUGCUAGAGCUCGUUUCUAGGGAAUGCUGGUGUAGGUGUUGGGCAAGAGGUAAAGGAGUCACCUUUAUGCCCCAAGGUCUUUAGAGAGCUAUUUAGAUCAGCAAAGAGUUGCUUUGGCCAGUCUAAACACUGGGAUGGUCCUCACAAAUGCACAGUAUUUAUAGUCUAAACGUCCCGUUGACAUAGUUGCUUCUUUGUAUGUUUUUACUUGAUAAGCCCCCAGGGGUGCCCCACAAGAGCUGACCUACUGAGUGCUUAUCAGUGACAACAGAUGAGAUGGUGACCUCCUGACACAGCUUACUUUAUUCUUCUAUCAAAAUGGCUUUAUUCUUAAAAACAACCUCAGUUUUGUCAUAAUAAAACCAAUACAGGGUACCUGGGUAGCUCAGUGGGUUAAGCAUCUGACCUCCGCUCAGGUCAUGACCUCAUGGUUCGUGAGUUUGAGUCCUGCAUUGGGUGAGCUCAAGCCCCACUUCGGGUAAGCCCCGCUUCUCUCUCUCUUCCCCUUGUGAGAUUCUCUCUCCCUUUCUCUCUCUCUCUCUGCUCCUUACUCACUUUGGCCCCCUCUCAAAAAAUAAAAUAAAUAAAAUAAAAUAAAAUAAAAUAAAAUAAAAUAAAAUAAUAAAAUGAAAUGAAAUACCCAAUACACAACACUUGUCAAGUGAUUGAGCAGGGCUAGUGGGAAGGUGGGCAGUGAGAGGGGUUUUCUGGUUUGGGAGUCAGGGAGGUCUGAACUGCUUUUACUCACAAUACUUCUGACACCCAGUGUUUGUGUUUUUCCUCUCAGUAACCACUUCAAUUCAAUUUUGAUACUCUCUACCUGGAGUUAGAGAGGCAGUAAGGAGGCUGGAUCCCACAAGAUGCUCCCACAUCAGAUGCCAACUCCAAGUCCGGGUUCCCAACGGUGCCUGACCAACUGGCUUUAAAUUGGUGGUUUCCACAACCCCCUGUUCAGGUUCAGUAAUUUGCUGGAAUGGCUCACAGAACUCAGGGAAACACUUUACUUAGAUUUAUCAGUUUAUUAUAAAGGAUACAACUCAGGAGCAGCCAGAUGGAAGAGGGGCAUAGGGCAAGGUUUUAGGGGGUCGGGUGGGGUGGCAUGGAGCUUCUCUGCCCUCUCUGGGUGCUCACUCUCUGAGUACUUCAAUGUGCUCACCAACCCAGAACAUUUCCAAACCCCAUCCUGAAGCAUUCUAGGAACUCCCAGCCCCUAGUCAGUUCAUCAGCAGACAAAAGACACACAUUACUUUAGAGAUUCCAACGGUUCUAGCCGCUGUGUACCAGGAAUCCAAGACAAAAACCAAAUAUAUCUUUAUCCCAGGAAGUGAUACUGGCAUAAACCAAGGCAGGGGAUAGGGGAAGAAAAACAGGUACGAGAAGGAAGAUUGUGCAGUUAUCUAUUGUAUAGUGACACAGAACAACAAUGAUCAUUUAUUUUGUAAGUUUAUUUUAUAUAUUUUGAGUGAGAGAGAGAGAAAGAGAGAGAGCAAGAGCAGGGGAGGGGCAGAGAGAGAGAGGGAGGGAGAGAGAGUCCCAAGCAGGCUUCCCACUGCUGGCACAGAGCCUAACUCAGGGCUCAAACUCACAAACUGUUAGAUAAUGACCUGAGCUGAAAUCAAGACUCGGACACUCAACUGACAGCCACCCAGGCACCCCAAUAACAAUCAUUUAUGAUUAUGUUUCGCCGUGGCAGGGGUUGAGUGACCACCCCCCAGUCCUACUCCUGGGCCAGGCUAGCAGGCCCUAGAUGUAGGCAUGGCUUUUGUCAGGCCUGUUCUGUGUCUUCUACAUCUGUUGUGUCUCAGUGUAGUGUAGAAUGCCCCUUACUGGCUUUCCUUAGCGUCUCCGUACCACCCACGUAUUCCAGGAAUCCUUUCUCUUAAUCUUUGCAAGAGGCCUCUUUUAAAUGCCCAGACCCCAGAUGCUCAGGGCUUUGGCAGCCUUGUGAAAAAACGUCUCUCAUGUGAUCCAUUCUCUAUACUUAGAGGGGCCACAUUUUAGGAAUCUUUCUUGCAUAUAACUGGAAGCCUGGCAGGCAUUGGUUUAAGCAAAAAUGGGAAUUUAUUGGCUCACAUAAGUGAAAAUUCCAGGGGCUGGAUCUAACGUUAGCCAUGGCUGGAUAUAAAUGUCAGGACCUUGAUUCAUUCAUGAUUUAGUUUUGCUUCCUGGCUCUAGGCUGUAUUCUCAGCAAGCUCUCCCUGUGGGAUGGCAAAAAGUGGCUGUAGCAGCUCCUGCCCAUUCCUCUCUAGCUAAGCCCAGCCAGAAGGAGCAAGCCUUUAUCUAUAGAGGGGCCUGCAACAGCCCGAGAGUCAUUCUAAUGAGGCCAGUAUGGUUGUUUGCUAGCUCCUCAACUCAUGUUUGAGGUCAGGGGCCAGCAGCAAUGUCUUCUGCUGGAUAAGGAGGGAUGGGUCCUAGGGAGUAGCGGAAACAAUAAAUGUUCACUAUGGGUAGGGGGGACAACACUCUGAAAUCCCACCAGGGUGGAGCUUAGACUGCACAGGCCACAGUGCCUGGCAUUUUGCCGCUCUGGAAAUACCCCCGCAUUUCAUGAAAAUGUGGUGCCACAAAGCCACCACCUGGGACUCUGGCCUUAUGGUCAGUGUGGGCCCAAAGGAUGGGGGUGCCUGCUGGCUGAGUCAAGAUACUCUGGAGACCUGCAAGGCACAGGCUCUUUUCAUUUUCAAUAUUUAAUUGCUAAUCUGUCUAGGGAAAUACAGGCAAAAGGGCCACUACCCNNNNNNNNNNNNNNNNNNNNNNNNNNNNNNNNNNNNNNNNNNNNNCAUACCCCCAGAAAUAUUGCAGGAAAUCAAGUCUUUUAAGGUUGUUAUAGCCGUAGUACCUAUUCUGUAGUUUCCAAUUCUUUUUCCUAGAUGGAACCUAGGAACCCAAUUUAUUAAUUUGUUCACUCAUCUGCUAAGCAUUUAUUGAUCACCUACUCUGGGCCAGACGUCAGAGGUACAAGGGUGUAUAAGGCCCAGCCUUCACUCUUGAGGCUCACAGGACAGAGCAGGGGAGAGAGACUGAAAAAAUGACCAUCCUGAACUUGAUGAUUCUGUAUAAUAAAGGAAUAGAGGAAGAGCUUUGGAAGGAAGGCACAACCCUUCCUUGGGGGCCUGGAACCCACAGCCCUGGGGUCCAUUCACCUGUGCAGUUUCUCAAAACAGUGGGGUUGACAUCGCCUCACUUCAUGCCUGGUGCACCGGCCUGUAUUGCAAACGGGAGGGUAAAGUUGGCAAAAACUAGCAAAAUAUUCCCAGCAUUUUCUCUUCUGGGAACAUACCUUUCCGAGCACACGUAGAAAAUUAAACACAUACGAGGUUUUUCACUGCAGCGCUGUUGGUAGUUGCAAAGGCUGGAAAUAACCUUGAGGCUCAACAUUAAUAAAAAAAAGAUGGUAUAACCACACAAAGGAAUACUAUACAAACUAGAAAAUCAACUCAGUCUGUGAGGAUCUGGAACAGUCUCUGAGGCAUACUGAGAAGUGAAAAAGCCAAGUGUCUGAACUGUGUUCUAACGUGCUGCCUUUUUUACAAAAAAAAAAAAAAAAGAGGAAAAUGAUAUAUUUUGCUUGUACAUAUAUAAACUAGCUCUGGAAGGAAACAAAAGAAACUUAUAUUUUCUUUGGAGAGAGGACCUGGGCAUCUGAGGGGACAAAUUUUUACCACCUUUUACUUUUUUUAAUGUUUAUUUAUUUUGAGAGAGAGAGAGAGAGUGAGCAGGGGAGGGGCAGGGGGAGAGAGGGGCAGAGGAUCCAAAGCGGGCUCUGUGCUGACAGCAGAGAGUCUGAUGUGGGACUCAAACUCACAAACCUGUGAGAUCAUGCCCUGAGCUGAAGUUGGAUGCUUAACCGACUGAGUCACCCAGGCACCCGACCACCUGUUACAUUUUAAUGUCCUAUCUUUUUUAAAAAAGCACCCCCUUCCUUAUUUUUAACUGAAGGCAGGAAGAGGGGGUGGUAAUUUGUAUCUCGGGAUGGGGAGGGUGGGCCUGACUGAUUUCAUCUCAGUGAUCCCUCUAUCUUCCCCCAGAAAGGCCAUCUUUGGGCAUUUUUCUUCACAUUGACUUGGCAUGAACUUUUAGUGUCACCAGUAGCUGCUCAACCUAAUAUUAGCUUUCAUUUCCUUUUCCCCGCCCUACGGAAGACAUCGUGCUUUCACAAACUUCAGGGUUCGGUGUGCGUAAAGUCCUGAGGCUCUGACCUGAUGGUCACCUGGUUGGUUCCAGCUGCUGGCAGCUGUGCGACACUCCAGCCGCUCACGCUUUAUUGCUUGCAGGCAGCAGCUGUUUUCAGCUAAGUUUGCUCCUUGUUCUGCGACUGUUCCAGUUGUUAGCUCUUCCUGCUCCGCUGGGGAAAGUCCCUUUAAAAGCCAUGUGCUUAAAACUGAAACCAGAGUCUAACGGCCAACGGUCACCACAAAGCACCCCCUAAAUACUCUCUGAUGUCCUGGCUUGAGGAACCCAGCUCCUAAACCUAGUAGUUUCUAAAUCUAGAUUUUUUUUCCCUCCAGAGGGGGGUUUUUGUCCCCUGUCUCUCCCUCCCCACCAUGCCUUUGCUUUUAUGAUUCAUAUUUUAAAUUUAGCCAAGAAUUGAAGAACGUUUUUUAAAGGCGAAAAGAUGAUCGGUCCCCUCUUUCUUUCUCUUCCAAACCAAAGGAGCAGGCAUUUCCCUUAGAAAUGUCUUUUUCUUAAUUAAAAAUUUUUUUAAGUUAAUUUAUUUUGAGAGAGAGAGAGAGAGAGAGGGAGGGAGAGAGAACGCAAGUGAGGAAGAGGCAGAGAGAGAGGCAGAGAGAAAGAAUCCCAAGCAGCCUCCAUGCCAGGAGUGCAGAUCUGGACUUGGGACCCGAAUUCACAAAUGGGAAAUCGUGACCUGAGCCAAAAUCAAGAGCUGGACAUUUAACCAACUGAGCCACCCAGGCGCCCCUUCCUUAGGGAUCUUUAGUGGGGUACAGGGGUUUACUUUAGGGGCCAGGCAGGUAAAGCAAAUUCGACUGGCCACCCAGGAGUGAGGUUAGCAGUAGGGGUGGGGACACUGGAAGAGCCCAGACACCCAGGCCCUUACACAGGAGGCAGCUGCUGCUGUGCUCUGGCUCAUAUUGGUACAUGGGAUUUGGGGGAGGGGUGGUUGACUGAGGCGGGGACGCAUGCAGGAUUUUGAUGUGAAAUUCCAUGCAUCUUUAAGACAUGGUGAGGGUCCCAAUCCAGGGUAGGCCUCCCGUGCACAUACUCUUCCCUAGGAAAAAGGCUGCACCUCUAGUUUUCUCCUGUGCCCCUUGGUUGGAAGCCUUCAGUGUGUUGGGACAGCCUUAGGAUGGCUGCAUGCAUGCUACUUGACCUCUGUCAUAGUCCAUUCUGUCUGCUAUAACAAAAUAGCGUUGACCGAAUAGUUUAUAAACAACAGAAAUGUAUCUCCCACCGUGCUGGAAGCUGGGAAGUCCAAGUUCAUGGGGCAGGCAGAUUCAGUGUUUGGUGAGGGCCUGCUUCUUGGUUCAUAGACAGCUGUCUUUGUGUCCCCACAUGGAGGAAGGCACUGGGGAGCUCGGUGGUAUCUCUUAUAAGGCACUAAUCCCAUUCAUGCAAACUCCACCCUUAUGACCCAAUCACCCCUAAAGGCCCCACCUCCUAAUUUCAUCACCUUAUGGGGGUAAGAUUUCAACUUAUGGAUUUUGGGGGACACAGACAUUCAGGCCAUAGCAAUCUCGUACCACACAAGUCCAUCAUGCCCUGUGGAACCAAAGGCUGUUUGAUUAAUAUGGUGACUCAAGGGGAGGUCAGUCCUGGAUGUGAAUGGUUUUAAUAAUUGUUUUGGUUGUUUUUGCUAUUUAGUUUGUGUUUCUACUAUCUAGCAUUUCAAAAUCAUUUAAAAUUGCUCACACCUUUUAGAUUACUUAGAGUUUUUUUUUUUCCUAUUUACUGUUUUUGGUUAACAUCUAUAUUGAGACAGAAUUCACAUACUGUACAAUUCACUCAUUUAGCUUGUACAAUUCAUGGCUUUUAGUAUAUUCAGAAUUGUGCAACCAUCACCACAAUCAAUUUUAGAACACUUUUCUCUCUCUCUCUUUUUUUUUUUUAGUAAUCUCUAUGGCCAAUGUGGGGCUUGAACACAUGACCCCAGAUCAAGAGUCACAUGCUCUAUCACCUGAACCAGCCAGGCGCCCCCUAUUUUACUUUAUUUAUUUUUUAAGAUUUUAUUUUUAAGUAAUCUCUACACCCAAAGUGGGGCUUGAACUCACAACCCCGAGAUCAAGAGUUGCAUACUCUUGAAUAUGCAGACUGAGCCAGCCAAACGCCCCACCCCCAAUUUUAGAACGUUUCAUUACUCCAAAAAGAAAUCCACCUGGCAGUGACUCCAAAUUUACUCCCCAGGAGAAAUGCUCCCCAGCCUCAGGCAGCCAUUAAUCUACUUUGUCUCUAUGGAUUUGUGUAUGACAGUCGUGUCAUAUAAAUGGAAUCAUGCAAUGCAUGGACUCUGUGUCUGUUUUUUCCCUUAGUAUGUUUUCAAGGCUCAUCUAUAUUGUAGCAUGUAUCAGUACUGUAUGCACAUUCAGUGCUAUGAAUUUGUUUAUUUUUUAUCUUUAUUUUUUUUGAGAGAGAGAGAGGGCACAAGUGAGCGAGGGGCAGAGAGAAGGGGCAGAGAGAGAGAGGGGGAGAGAAAGAGAGAAGCGGGGCUUGUGCUCAUUCGAUGUGGGGCUCAAACUCAUGAACUAUGAGAUCAUAACCUGAGCCAAAGUCAGACAUUAACCGACUGAGCCACCCAGGCACUUCUGUUUCUUUAUUUUUUAUAAAAUUCCCUUUAGGUACUGCUCUCACAAAUUCCUAUUAAAUUGCAUUUUCAUUUAGUUAAAAAUAUUUUACAGUUUUAAGACUUAAUUUUGAGACUUUUUUGACCCAUUUGUUAUUUGUGAAGUAUGCUGUUUAAUACAUUUUAUAUUAAUACAUCCAUAUAAUGGUUAUAAUAUAUAUUAAUAUGUCCAAAUAUUUGGGGAUCUUCCAGUUACUUUUCUGUUAUUGAUUUCUAGUUUAAUUUCAUUGUGGUCUGAGAGCAGACUUAGUAUGAUUUCUAUUCUUUCAAAUCCAGUGAAGUGCUUUUUUUUAAUUAAGUUUAUUUAUUUAUUUUGAGAGAGAUAGAAAGGAAGGGUCAGAGAGAGAGGGAGGGAGAAUUCCAAGCAGGUGAUACAUUGUCAGCAUGAGCCCAACACGGGGCUGGAUUUCACAAACCCUGAGAUCAUGAUCUGAGCUGAAAUCAAGAGUGACGCUCAACCAACUGAGCCACCCAGGCGCCCCACUGAAGCGUGUUUUAUGGCCCAGGUAUGGUCUAUCUUGGUGAAUGUUACAUGGGAAUUUGAGAAGAAAGUAUAUAGUCUGUUGCUGUUGGAUGAAGUAGUCCAUAAACGUCAAUUAGAUCCAGCUGAUUGAUCGUGCUGUUCAGUUCAGAUAUAUCCUUACGAUUUUCUGCCUGAUGGAUCUGUCCACCACAGAGAGAGAGUGCUGAAGUCUAUACCAGUGAAACUGUCCAUUUCUCAGCUCAGUUCCAUCAGCUUUUGUCUCUUGUAUUUUAAUGUUCUGUUGUUACGUGCAUACGGCUUAAGGACUGUUAUAUCCUCUUGGAGAAUUGACAUCUUUAUCUCUGAUUCUUCCUGUUCGAAGUCUGCUUUGUCUAGAAUUAAUGUAGCAAUUCCAGCUUUCUUUUGAGUAGUGUAAGCAUGGUGUGUCUUUCUCUAUCCUUUUACUUUUUUUUAAAUAUCUCAUCAACUUUAUUAAAUAAUUCAUGAAUUGGGCAGCAUGCCAUCUAGCAAGUAGAGGGGAACUCCCCCAUCCUUUUACCUUUAAUCUGUCCGUGUCUUCAUAUUUAAAGUGGAUUUCUUGUACACAACAUAUAAUUGGGUCUCUUUAAAUCCACUGUGACAGGGGCGCCUGGGUGGCUCAGUUGGUUAAAGCGUCUGACUUCGGCUCAGGUCAUGAUCUUACGGUUCGUGAGUUCGAGCCCCACGUCAGGCUCUGUGCUGACAGCUCAGAGCCUGGAGCCUGCUUCGGAUUCUGUGUUUCCCUCUCUCUCUGCCCCUCCCCUGUUCAUGCUCUGUCUCUCUCUGUUUCAAAAAUAAAUACAACGUUAAAAAAAAAUUAAAAAAAAAAUCCACUGUGACAGUUUCUGUCAACUGGUAUAUUUAGACCAUUCACAUCUACAUUGAUUAUAAAUAUAGUCAGAUUAAUACCUACGAUGUUUGUAACAUUUUCAUUCAUAGUACUUGUUCUUUAUUCUUUGUUUCUGUGGUAAAAUAUACAUAACAUAAAAUUUACCAUUUUAACCAUUUUUAUGCUUACAGUUCAGUGGCAUUAAGCAAACUCACAGUGUCGUAUGACCAUCACCAUUAUCUAUUUCCAGAACUUUUGACACUCCCAAAAGAAAAUCUGUACCCAGUAAACAAAAACUCCCCACUCCCCCUCAUCAUUGCCUCUGGGAAGCUCUAUUCUCCUUUUUGUCUCUGUCAAUUUGCCUCUUCUACCUACCUUAUAAAAAUGGUAUCAUAAUAUUUGUCCUUUUGUGUCUGGUUUAUUUCACAUAGUGCUAUAUAUAUAUAUAUUUUUUUCUUUUUUGAAGAUUUUAUUUUUAGCGGUACCUGGGUGAAUCAGUCAGUCAAGCAUGCCACUCUUGAUUUCAGCUCAGGUCGUGAUCUCAGGGUUGUGAGUUCAAGCCCUGUGUUGGGCUCCACACUGAGUGUGGAGCCUGCUUAAGAUUCUCUCUCUCCCUCUCUCUCUAUGUCCCUUCCCUCCUCAAAAUAAAUAAAGAUUUAGAAAAAAAGGAUUUUAUUUUAAAAUAAUCUCCACACCCAAUGUGGGGCUUGAACUUACAACCCUGUGAUCAAGAGUUGCAUCUUCCACCAAGCCAGCCAGGUGCCCCUAUACUAUACUAAAGUAUAAUAUUUUUGAGUUUCAUUCAUGUAGCAUGCAUCAGAAUUUAAUUCCUUUUUAAGGCUGAAUAAUAGUCCAUUACAUUGAUAUACCACAUUUUGUUUAUAUAUUUACCUGUUGAUGGACAUUUAUUGUGUGGUAAAGGUUGUCACCGCAUUUGGUGAUUGUGCAUAAAUAAUGCUGCUCUGAAUGUCAGUGUACAAGUUGCCUGUUUGAGUCCCUGCUUUUCUUGCUUUCUUAACUUUCCCGUCUUUUCUGCUUUUUCUGGUUUUGAGUAUUUAAAUUAAUUAAAUUAAUUAAUUAAUUAAUUUUUAAUUUAAGUUUUUAAAAUUUACAUCCAAAUCAGUUAGCAUAUAGUGCAACAAUGGUUUCAGGAGUAGAUUCCUUAGUGCCCCUUAGCCAUUUAGCCCAUCCCCCCUCCCACAAGCCCUCCAGUAACCCUCUGUUUGUUCUCUAUAUUUAAGAGUCUAUUAUGCUUUUUCCCCCCUCCCUGUUUUUGUAUUUUUUUUGUUUCCCUUCCCUUAUGUUCAUCUGUUUUGUCUCUUAAAGUCCUCAUAUGAGUGAAGUCAUAUGCUUUUUGUCUUUCUCUGACUAAUUUCACUUAGCAUAAUACCCUCCAGUUCCAUCCAUGUAGUUGCAAAUGGCAAGAUUUCCUCCUUUUUGAUUGCCAAGUAAUACUCCAUUGUAUAUAUGUAUCACAUCUUUUUUAUCCAUUCAUCCAUCGAGGGACAUUUGGGCUCUUUCCAUACUUUGGCUACUGUUGAUAGUGCUGCUAUAAACAUGGGGGUGCAUGUGUCCCUUCAAAACAGCACACCUGUAUCCCUCGGAUAAAUACCUAGUAGUGCAAUUGCUGGGUCGUAAGGUAGUUCUACUUUUGGUUUUUUGAGGAACCUCCAUACUGUUUUCUAGAGUGACCGCACCAGCUUGCAUUCCCAACUUAUUUUAUUUUUUUAAUGUUUAUUUAUUUUUGAGAGAGAAAGAGAGAGUGGGGGGGAGGGGCACAGAGAGAGGGAGGACAGAGGAUCUGAAGCUGAUUCCGUGCUGACAGCAGAGAGCCCGAUGUGGGGCUUAAACUCACAGACUAUGAGAUCAUGGCCCGAAAUCAGACGCUUAACCAACUGAGUCACCCAGGUCUGCCCCUGGUUUUGAAUAUUUUAAAAAAUUUUACUUUUCUCCUCUUAACAUAUCAGUUAUAGUUCUUGAAAAAAACUCUUUUUGGGGCACAUGAGAGGCUCAGCCAGAGUCAGGCAUCUGACUCUUGAUUUCAUGCAGAGCCUGCUUAGGACUUCUCUCUUCCCCUCCCCUGCUCAUGAUCUCUGCCUCUCUCAAAAUAAAUAAAUAAACAUUAAAAAACAAAACAAAACACCAGGGGCGCCUGGGUGGCUCAGUUGGUUGAGUGUCUGACUUUGGCUCAGGUCAUGAUGUCACAGCUCGUGAGUUCAAGCCCUGUAUGGGGUUCUGUACUGACAGCUCAGAGUCUGGACCCUGCAUCAGACUCUUUGCCUCCCUCUCUCUCUCUCUGCCCCUCUCCUGCUUGUGUUCUGUCUCUCAAAAAUAAAUAUUAAAAAAAAAACAAAACACCCAAACUCUCUUUAGUGGUUACUCCAGAGUUUGCUGGAGUUUGUUACAAUUAAUCAAAGUCUACUUUUCAAUAACUCUAGGGGCACCUGGGUGGCUCUGUCAGUUAAGUGUCCAGCUUCAGCUCAGGUCAUGAUCUCACGGUUCGGUCUGUGAGUUCGAGCCCCACGUCAGGCUUUGUGAUGACAGCUCAGGGCCUGGAGCCUGCUUUGGAUUCUGUCUCUCUCUCUCUCUGCCCCUCCCCUGCUCACACUAUGUCUCUCUGUCUCUCAAAAACAAAUAAAUGUUUUUAAAAAAUUAAAAAAAAGGGGGGGGGACAGCAAUGAGAACUUGAGAUCUCACUCCUCUGAACACCUCUCUCGGCAUUUGACCCACAGGACUCACUCUGACACUAGUCGAGGGAUGAGAAGCUUCUUAGCACUCCUCAAGGAAGAAUACUGUGGGAGACAGUAUCAGAGCCAAGGAGUGACCCCGCACAGCCAGGAGUGCAGGACUGGUUUGGCUAUGUUUAGGAGAGCACAGGAGGAAGGCAUUAGCUACACUGGAACAUGGGGAGAGAUCACCUUUGAGCCUGGUGUCCGAGGAAGAGCAGGUUCCUGCCUGGAGGGAGAGAGGGGCAUUCAGACAGAGGAAUAACAUUGGAGGGGGAUCCGUGACAGGGGAACAGAGGGGAGGUCAGUUGUGGCCAGAGAAGGGGGAAUGUUUUGAAUUUGUUGUUUCCGCUCUGGCCCUUAGAUACUGGUGGCCCUUAGGUACUCCACUACUCUCUGGCUUUUUUCUACUUUGCUCAAGAUCUUGGGACAGAAUCAGAACAAAAUACAAUGCAUUCCAGUCCUCUGUGUUUCAGAGAUGGCCACCAGAUGGCACUCUUUCCCCCUUCCAAGGCACACUGGCUGCCACCUCGGCCCUUCUGUACCUGGAACCUGCAUAUGGCUGCCUGAGGGCUAGUGGUUUGAGUGCCUUGGUGUACCUCUGACCCUUCAUGGGGGGAGGUCUGGUCUCCCUCUAAAACAUCCAGUGCUUCCCUGAGGGAGGACAGAGUCAAAGAGAAUGAAAUCCUGAGCCAGGGAGGAAGAGGCAAUCUUUAAAACAGAGGCGACCCAGACAGACAGUGUUGAUCUGAAGCAAGGACAGGAAGACAGUACCGCUGUGCCUCGUGUCCAGGGCCUGGCUAGGGGCCAGGGGGCGGCCUUUCUUUGAGAGCCUGGGCCUCUCAAGGCCAUGUCAUUACAUAGUGAUCAUGAUGGGGGGGUGGGGCAGCACCUGACCCCCGCCCCCACAUCAUCCAGUGUGAAGGAUUAGAGGCUGAUGUCACACCUGUGAGGAGUGAGAUAAUUCAUUUUCAGAAAUUCCAAACAAAAACUGUGCUGUCUAGUUAACAAUAGGUUUACAACCUAUUGGAAAUAUAUAUGAAACCGCCUCCCCCUCUCCCCCCAGCGGGGUCCCAAACCCGGAGGCACUUCACUUCCUGGUUCUUCUUCCCCCUCCAUCUCAGAGGCUUAUUUUCAUGGGCUCUGCAAUGAGCACGUGCCGAAGAACAAAGGAGGGACUGAAAGUCUUUUUUUUUUUUUUAAUUUUUUUUUUAACGUUUAUUUAUUUUUGAGACAGAGAGAGACAGAGCAUGAACGGGGGAGGGUCAGAGAGAGAGGGAGACACAGAAUCGGAAACAGGCUCCAGGCUCUGAGCUGUCAGCACAGAGCCCGAAGCGGGGCUCCAACUCACGAACCGUGAGAUCAUGACCUGAGCCGAAGUCGGACGCUUAACCGACCAAGCCACCCAGGCGCCCCGGGACUGAAAGUCUUUAAGUCACCUCAGGAAAUGUACAUUUGGUCCAAUUAGACUACUUUUUGCCUUACAUGGGCAUAGACAAUGUCCAGGUAAGGCUGUCACCUCUGUAGUACUCAGCCAGUGACAAAUCAGGGGAGGGACUUGCAUGUUGGGAGAUAAAUUGUCUGCUAUAACUGCCCCGAGUGUGCCUGUCCAUCAGAUACCCGCUCUUGCAAGAACGUUGCUUAAAGCCUCGCUUCACUGUGCUCCAAGUCUCUGCGUCCCUCCUCUGAUUGGGUCAGUGGGCUUAUUUCUCACACACCCUCCUGCCCCUGGCAGAUAUGUCUCUUUUCUGUCAGUUCCUGGGUGUGCCAUCUGGAACCAGCACCCCAUGACCUUACAGGGUCAUAAACCCACACGUUUCAGGGGCUGGGGAAGUGGUGUAUACCGAUGAAGCUGAGGGUAGGGGCAGACGACAGGGAGCGGUGGGGUCUGGUGAGAGCACAGUGUCCUCUUGACAGCAUUCCAAUUCACAUUUUCUUAUAACACAGUGCUGGCCUGACCAUGUACAUCAGCAUGCUACUUAGAUUUAAAAUGCCUGGCCCAGGAUAAAGUCCAAACUCCCUGCCAGGCGCCCAGGUGCUGGGGACCCUUCACAGCUAUUCCCAUCCUUUUCCUCCCCAUCUCCCACCUGGCCCCCAGGCACUUACACUGUAGCCACUGAACGUGCCAAGCCCCUCUACAGCAUUUGUCCCGGUCACAUGCCCUUUGUCAGGCAGGCCCUUUCUCCCCUUCCUCACCUCAUUCAAGAACCAGCUCAGGGGUGACCCUCCAUUCCGCUGGGUUGUGGGUACCUCAAAGGCCGACAGAGUCAGGACCACAGCACCGCUUCACUCCAAGGGGCGACUUCACUUCGGAUUCUUUGAGAAUGGCUCCCCCUGGUGUUUUAGGAGUUGUGCGCUGCCGCCUCCAGGCAGGGAGCCGGUACUCAGCGUGAUUUAAGUUACUGGGGUCGCGCACACCUCCACGGAGCGCCACCAGAUGGCGCCCGUCUAGUCCUCUGGGGCCUCCAUAUCACAGGCGGGUGGUGACUGGGGAGGAGGCUUAUGCACACAUCUCUGGCACUUUUGGAUCGCAAGCUUUUCUUUGUUCCAAAUGGCCCUUGGAUCUCAUGAACCCAGUGGAGGCCGGCUUGAGGUGCAUUUGUACCCCAUUCUGCCCCCACAGCUAAUUCUGAAUACCCUUAGCCUCAGUUCCUUACCACAUGGAUGAUGUUGACUCAAGAAAUUGCUGGCUGAGUCAUCAGACCCUCUCAUGAUGCUUAAGCUGUAAAAUAACAGCUCUGUGCAUCCCACUUGCCUAGACCUGCCCUGGAUCAGUCUGUGCACCCUCCUGGCUUGGGAAGGCCAUUGAUUAGGCCUGGGGUCUGGGUGGGCUGGACUCCAGGAGAGGUUCUGGAAAGAGCCCCCUCAGCACCCUGAGCCUGUGGUCAGAAGAGGGGGAAGCUGGGGAGACCCACCUACCGCUCUGGCACCUCCAGGAGGAGCUGGGCAUUAACCAUGAGAACAGCAGUGGCUAAAGGGCUAUUCAUCUGCCUUGUUUCUAUCAUUACUAGGGUCUCUGGAAUUUUUUUUAAAGGGCCUGGGGGAGCAAUCUGGUUGGAAGAAGGUAGCAUGUGGGGUGGAAAUGAGGGAGGCACCUACAGAUCUGCUUUGUGCCUAGUAAGGACAUUGCUUUUGCAGUUUAAUAAAGCAGCAAUAGUUUCUAGAGAUCUCUUUAUAACAGUUACUUGAGGAUGUUAUUAUGAUUAUUUAUUUUAUUUUUUAUUUUUUAAGGUUUAUUUAUUUUGAGAGAGAGAGAGUGUGUGCACAUGAGGGGGGGAGGGUCAGAGAGAGAAGGAGAGAGAGAAUCCCAAGCAGGGUCUGUGUUGUCAGCACAGAGCCUGACACCGGAUUUGAACCCACUAACGGUGAGAUCAUGACUUGAGCCGAGAUAAAGAGUCCCAUGCUUAACUGGCAGAACCAACCAGGCGGCCCUAUAAGUGUUUAUUUAUGAGGUUGAUGAAGAUUAUAGUGGGAGUUACUGUUUCCCUGUUAAAUAAUACGUUGGCUGCUAGUAUGAACCAGAUAUUUUUAUAUUCUAUUAAGAAAUAAUUCAUCUAUUAUUAGUUUACCAAGAACUUUUAAAAAUCAGAUAUAGCUUUUGAAAUUCAUAAAAGCAGACUUUUGGGCUCACAUCAAGAUAGAUAUAUAUAUACUUUUUUCCUUUUACCAAUUAACUUGCUAAAUUAUGACAAUAGAUUUCCUGAUACUGAAAUAUCCUGGCAUUGUUGUAAUAAACUUUAAUUAGCAGCAUUGCAGUGGUACUAUUUUAAUGUACUUCCUGAUUAAGUUUCCUGGUAUGUAUUUUAUUUAGAAUUUUGCAACAAUAUUCAUAGUACAUUUUGUUUUCAGGAUCUUUUUGGCUUUGUAAAAUGUAUUGGUAGACAUAUGUCCUUUUCUAGCUACUGAAACAAAUUUUGAGGUGUUGAAGUUAUUGCUUUCUUUCAGCUUUGAAAGAAAUCAUCUGUGAAACCAUCUGGGCUUGGCACUGUACUAAGUUAUAACGAUGUGCGAACUUUGUGUGUGUGUGUGUGUGUGCGCGUGUGUGUGCGCGCACGCGCGCGCAUGCAUGCAUGCGUAUGAUGUUAUUCGGUGCAUAAAAGCUUGUGGAUGUUUUUAAAAUAGAGACUGCCAAUAUUAAAUAACACUCUUUAAUUCUUUACUGUUUUCUGGCUUGAAUUUUACUUUGCUUGAUAUUCACACACCCUAAGUUCUUUCUGAGAACAAUGUGCCUUUCUUGAAAAAAUAUGAUUGAAAAUGGUUUUGACCUCACCUGAGAGCCCUUCACAAAGAUUUUUAAAACAUUUAUAUUUAUAGUAAAAAACUCUCUCUAGUCUUAUUUCUGUCAUCUUGAACUAUGCUUUCAUUAAAGUAAUGCUUCAUUCUUUCAUCCUUUGUUUUUGUAAAUGAGUUGUGUUUUCUUUAUUUUUCUUAGGGUUGGUUUAUUUGUUUGUUUGGUCUUAUAUAGAAUUGAGCUCAGCUGCGCAUAACAGAAACACCCCUAAAAUUCAGUGACUUAAAUAUUAUAGGAGUUUUUUCGUCUUCCUCGUGAAGAAGUUUGGAAGUAGGCAAUCCAAGCCUGAUAGUGACUCGGAAGUCAAUGCUCAGAGCUGAGGCUCCUCCCAGAUUUCUGGUCCACCAUGUCUCAUAUAGUUUCUCUCUUUCAGGUCAUUUCCUGGCUGUAGGUCAGGGUGGGAACUGGACUCCUGCAUUCUGUGUUCCUUGCUGGAGACCAUGCUUGCUGGAAUCAAGUACCUGGGAGGAUGACAUCACAAACGACCUGAAGCACUGUGCUGGUUAAUUUUAUGUAUCAACUUGGCUAGACCAUGGUGCCCAGUUGUUUGGUAGGUGCCCACUUGACCCACCAUGGUACUAGACCAUGGUGCCCAGACACAGCCUGUUGCUGUGAAGGUAUUUGGUAUGUGAUUAACAUUUGCAAUCAACUGACUUGAAGUGAAAGAGAUUACCCUCCAUCCAUAAUAUGGAUGGGCCUCACCCAAUCAGUUGAAGGCCUUAAGAGCCAAGAUUGAAGCUUCCUGGAUAGGAAGGAAUUCUGUCUUAAGAUUGUAACAUGGAAGAACUGCUUGAGUUUCCAGACUGCUGACCUGCUGUAUGGAUUUUGGUCUUGCUAGCCCCUACAGUUGUGUGAGCCAAUUCCUUAAAAAUCUCUUUCUCUCUCUACAUGUACACACACGUAUGUAUGUAGGGGUGUGUGUGUGUGUGUGUGUGUGUGUGUGUGUGUCUUUAAUCUCAGGACCCUUGCCUCAGCCCUGGAUUUUGGUAAGAGCAUUGGGAAUAAGAGCCAUGAUGACAAAGAAGUCAGGUCUUCUCCACCAGUUCAAGUCUGUCUACACCAGGGGAAGACUCAUGUAGUCCCCAGGGGUUAAGAGGUUAAUAUGGAGCUUUUAUACAUCAGUUUAGUACAUGACAGUGGUGAACAACGAUGAAUUUGGGUGCUUCAUAUCCAUUUACCCUGUUAUUAAUAAUAGUUCUGAAUUUGCAUUUACAAAUACACUCGAAUUUUGUAACUUCGUAUGGUGACAGAUGGUGACUAAGUCUAGUGGUGUUCAUUUCACAGUGUAUGCAAAUAUCAAGUCAUUAUUGUUGUACACUUGAAACUAAUAUAAUGUCAUAUGUCAAUUAUACUUCAGUUAAAAAAAAAAGAAAUAGACUCCAUCUCUACUCAAUGUUCCUGUGAUUCCAGUGAGGCUGACCCAUCUGCUAACAACAAGGAUGGCAUUAGACCUAGGUUUAAACCAGCCUGUGUCCUGGCCAGUGUGAUUGGGUCAGGGAGGGGCACCUGACCUAAUUCUGGCUAGUGAAAGUUAGGUCCAGCCUUUUUGUUUGAACUGGAUAGAAUAGAAAUAGACAGUCUCUAUUUUCUGCUGUUCUCAUACCUGGGAGGAGUGUAUUGAGCUGCAGCAGCUGUAUUGUCACCAUGAGCGGGGAGGCCAGCCUCAGAAGAAAGAUGCAGAACUGAAAGAUGGAGAGAGAGAAACCAGGUCCCUGUGACAUCAUUUGACUAUCUCCAUCAGCCACACCUGAAGUAAAACCUACUUCCUGGAUCUCUCAUUUACAUAAGUAAAUGUAUCCUUUUUUUUUUUUUUUUUGCUUAAGACAGGUUGGAUAUGUUUUUUUUUUUUUAAUCAAAAAAACCAAAGAAUGUUCAUGAUACCAUUAUGUGCGCUACUGAUUUUUUUUCUAAGAACAAGCCAGAUCAAAUAACCUGGCAUCUGAGUAGCAGGAAACAAAAUAAGGGACUGCUUGGCAUGAGAUAACAUUUGGAUAAAAACAGUGACUCAAAGAACAGGUUCUUUUUAGCUACACAUGCCUGAGAUGAAGGUCUUGGGCUACAUUGAUGCAAAAGUGGGAGCUUUUUCCUGCAAAAUUGCCUUCCU
rnacentral:lncRNA from 1 species